rnacentral:rRNA from 1 species
UACGCAGGGUGCGAGCGUUAAUCGGAAUUACUGGGCGUAAAGUGUGCGCAGGCGGCAGAGCAAGUCGAGUGUGAAAGCCCCGGGCUUAACUUGGGAAUUGCGCUCGAAACUACUUUGCUGGAGUGUGGCAGAGGAAGGUGGAAUUCCACGUGUAGCGGUGAAAUGCGUAGAGAUGUGGAGGAACACCAAUGGCGAAGGCAGCCUUCUGGGCCAACACUGACGCUCAUGCACGAAAGCGUGGGGAGCAAACAGG